rnacentral:rRNA from 1 species
AUUGAACGCUGGCGGCAGGCCUAACACAUGCAAGUCGAACGCGUGGCGGACGGGUUAGUAAUGUCUGGGAAACUGCCUGAUGGCAGGGGAUAACUACUGGAAACGGUAGCUAAUACCGCAUACCAUCGGAUGUGCCCCGAUGGGCUUAGCUAGUAGGUGCGGGAACGGCUCACCUAGGCGACGACCCCUAGCUGGUCUGAGAGGAUGACCAGCCCACCUGGAACUGAGAAACGGUCCAGACGCCUACGUGAGGCAGCAGUGGGGAAUAGUGCACAAUGGGCGCAAGCCUGAUGCAGCCAUGCCGCGUGUAUGAAGAAGGCCUUCGGGUUGUAAAGUACUUUAAGCGGGGAGGCGUUACCCGCAGAAGAAGCACCGGCUAACUCCGUGCCAGCAGCCGCGGUAAUAC